GAUGAACGCUGGCGGCGUGCUUAACACAUGCAAGUCGAACGGAAAGGCCCAAGCUUGCUUGGGUACUCGAGUGGCGAACGGGUGAGUAACACGUGGGUGAUCUGCCCUGCACUUCGGGAUAAGCCUGGGAAACUGGGUCUAAUACCGGAUAGGACGAUGGUUUGGAUGCCAUUGUGGAAAGUUUUUUCGGUGUGGGAUGAGCUCGCGGCCUAUCAGCUUGUUGGUGGGGUAAUGGCCUACCAAGGCGUCGACGGGUAGCCGGCCUGAGAGGGUGUACGGCCACAUUGGGACUGAGAUACGGCCCAGACUCCUACGGGAGGCAGCAGUGGGGAAUAUUGCACAAUGGGCGCAAGCCUGAUGCAGCGUCGCGGCGUGGGGGAUGACGGCCUUCGGGUUGUAGACUCCUUUCGCUAGGGACGAAGCGUUUUUGUGACGGUACCUGGAGAAGAAGCACCGGCUAACUACGUG
rnacentral:rRNA from 1 species